UACGAAGGGUGCAAACGUUGCUCGGAAUUAUUGGGCGUAAAGCGCACAUAGGCGGCUUGGCAAGUCGGAUGUGAAAUCCCUCGGCUCAACCAAGGAAGUGCAUCCGAAACUGCCGAGCUUGAGUACUUAAGAGGAUCGCGGAAUUCCCGGUGUAGAGGUGAAAUUCGUAGAUAUUGGGAAGAACACCGGUGGCGAAGGCGGCUCACUGGCUCAUUUCUGACGCUCAGGCGCGACAGCGUGGGGAUCAAACAGG
rnacentral:rRNA from 1 species